CAGUCAGCUGCUGACUUCUUUGUCAACGGCAGAUUGGCGACUGCCCUGGACCAGUUUGCUGAUGGGUUAAAAACCCUUGGAUUACUCAAAGAGAUGAGGGAGAAUCCGGCCGUGUUCUUCAACUUCUUUGUCAAUGAGGAAAUUCCCCUUCAGGCGAAGGACCUGUGCAAGUUAUUUGUUCCAGACUUCUCAGCGCAGGGCAGCAACCGGAGAAACCGAGAAAAUAUGACAAUCUGCUUCUGGCGUGACUGGUUGAUUGACAUAGAAGAAGGAGAAUGCAGUCCAGUCACCCUUGAGAGGGUUUUGGAAUUUUCGUCUGGAGCCUCUGUAGUCCCUCCACUGGGAUUUCCACACCCUCCUCAAAUACAGUUCAUUCAUGAAGAGAACCGAAUCUUCCCUGAAGCAAACACGUGUAUUGUUACACUAUGCCUGCCGCUGCACUCUUCUUAUGAAUGGUUUAAAAAACAUAUGAUGGAGGGAAUUUUGCAAGCGCCGACCUUUGGUCUUGCAUAAUGUUACCGUGUUUGUUUUUAAAAUUGUUCAGUGCAGGUUGUUAGAGGGCAUGCCUCU